AGCGAACGCUGGCGGCAGGCCUAACACAUGCAAGUCGAGCGCCGUAGCAAUACGGAGCGGCAGACGGGAGAGUAACACGUGGGAACGUGCCCUUUGGUUCGGAACAACCCAGGGAAACUUGGGCUAAUACCGGAUAAGCCCUCACGGGGAAAGAUUCAUCGCCGAAGGAUCGGCCCGCGUCUGAUUAGCUAGUUGGUGGGGUAGUGGCUCACCAAGGCGACGAUCAGUAGCUGGUCUGAGAGGAUGAUCAGCCACACUGGGACUGAGACACGGCCCAGACUCCUACGGGAGGCAGCAGUGGGGAAUAUUGGACAAUGGGCGCAAGCCUGAUCCAGCCAUGCCGCGUGAGUGAUGAAGGCCCUAGGGUUGUAAAGCUCUUUUGUGCGGGAAGAUAAUGACUGUACCGCAAGAAUAAGCCCCGGCUAACUUCGUGCCAGCCGCCGCCGUAA
rnacentral:rRNA from 1 species